GACGAACGCUGGCGGCGUGCUUAACACAUGCAAGUCGAACGGAAAGGCCCUGCGUUUGUGGGGUGCUCGAGUGGCGAACGGGUGUGUAACACGUGAGUAACCCGCCCUUGACUUUGGGAUAACUUCAGGAGACUGGGGCUAAUACAGCAUAGGAGCUCCUGCUGCAUGGUGGGGGAUGGAAAGUUUCGGCGGUUGGGGAUGGACUCGCGGCUUACCAGCUUGUUGGUCGGGUAGUGGCUUACCAAGGCUUUGACGGGUAGCCCGCCUGAGAGGGUGACCGGCCACCUUGGGACUGCGAUACGGCCCAGACUGCUACGGGAGGCAGCAGUGGGGAAUCUUGCACAAUGGGCGGAAGCCUGAUGCAGCAACGCCGCGUGCGGGAUGACGGCCUUCGGGUUGUAAACCGCUUUCGCCUGUGACGAAGCGUGAGUGACGGUACUGGGUAAAGAAGCACCGGCUAACUACGUG
rnacentral:rRNA from 1 species